rfam:Schistosoma curassoni strain Dakar, Senegal genome assembly, scaffold: SCTD_scaffold0002898
AUCCAGCUGACGAGUCCCAAAUUGGACGAAACGCGCGUCCUGGAU